CACGUAGUUAGCCGUGGCUUUCUGAUUAGGUACCGUCAAGAUGUGCACAGUUACUUACACAUUUGUUCUUCCCUAAUAACAGAGUUUUACGAGCCGAAACCCUUCAUCACUCACGCGGCGUUGCUCCGUCAGGCUUUCGCCCAUUGCGGAGGAUUCCCUACUGCUGCCUCCCGUAGGAGUCUGGACCGUGUCUCAGUUCCAGUGUGGCCGAUCACCCUCUCAGGUCGGCUACGUAUCGUCGCCUUGGUAAGCCGUUACCUUACCAACUAGCUAAUACGGCGCGGGUCCAUCUAUAAGUGAUAGCAAAACCAUCUUUCACUUUAGAACCAUGCGGUUCUAAAUGUUAUCCGGUAUUAGCUCCGGUUUCCCGAAGUUAUCCCAGUCUUAUAGGUAGGUUACCCACGUGUUACUCACCCGUCCGCCGCUAACUUCAAAGGAGCAAGCUCCUUAUCUGUUCGCUCGACUUGCAUGUAUUAGGCACGCCGCCAGCGUUCAUCCUGAGCCAGGAUCAAACUCU
rnacentral:rRNA from 1 species